rnacentral:rRNA from 1 species
UACGGGGGGGGCAAGCGUUGUUCGGAAUUACUGGGCGUAAAGGGUUUGUAGGUGGCUAAUUGAGUCAGACGUGAAAUCCCUCAGCUUAACUGGGGAACUGCGUCUGAUACUGGUUGGCUUGAGUGCAGGAGAGGAACGCGGAAUUCCAGGUGUAGCGGUGAAAUGCGUAGAUAUCUGGAGGAACACCGGUGGCGAAGGCGGCGUUCUGGACUGCAACUGACACUGAGAAACGAAAGCCAGGGGAGCAAACGGG